GGAAAGGCCAGAUUUCAAAGUGCAUUUAAAUCUAGUAAGAGUUUUUGACUCCGCUUCCUAAAAUGGACAGCUGCAGGUUUGGGGAGCAUGGGGGAUUAUAUGCUGACCAUGGAAACCAGAAUUAGAGGAUCAGGUCGGACAGACGCUAACCACUGAAGACACCUCUGGGGCCCAUGGGUCUGGAGACGGCAUGGGCAGAAUCCACAUGAACAAGUUCACCGCCGAGAAUUCCUCCGUCGUUGAUCUGCCUUCCUACAAGUUGCCACCCUCAGAAACAAAUUCCUUUGCCUUUGCCUUUUCCUUGCCAUAUCUCUAAAAAUGCAUCAUUGUUGAAGAUGCGCUCGAGGAGUACCCAUUCCUUGUGUGUCUGUCAUGAGUCUGCUCCAGCUCCCACUGAACCGAUUACCGUACCAGCAGAUGGAGGUCCCUUCCUAUUCUGAGGACAACUUCCUCAGGCUUCCAGGAGAGUCCCAGUUUCCAGUAUAUGUUUCCCAGACCUACAACGCCAGUCGCAG